rnacentral:rRNA from 1 species
GACGAAGGAUGCAAGCGUUGUCCGGAAUUAUUGGGCGUAAAGAGCUCGUAGGCGGUGUGUCGCGUCGGCCGUGAAAACCUGCAGCUUAACUGUGGGCUUGCGGUCGAUACGGGCAUCACUGGAGUUCGGCAGGGGAGACUGGAAUUCCUGGUGUAGCGGUGAAAUGCGCAGAUAUCAGGAGGAACACCGGUGGCGAAGGCGGGUCUCUGGGCCACUACUGACGCUGAGAAGCGAAAGCAUGGGGAGCGAACAGG